UAUUUUCAGGGCGAGGUGAAAUUCCUCACCGGCAGUAUAGUCUGCGAACUGAUCUGCUUUUGCACGGUCAGCCGAAGCGGUGCAAUUCCGUUACCGACAGUUAGAGUCUGGAUGAGAGAAAAUG
rnacentral:ncRNA from 1 species